CCACCCCCGCUGCAACCCGAGAUGCACCUUGUACAAGACACACGCCAUCACCUGUAACUGUCGAGUUCGUUGUUUUUGUCACAAACAUCGAAGGAAGAAUGAGAAGUAUUCGGUUAUAGAAUAAAUUCCAUCGUUCUAUAUAUCAGGAAAGAAUUAACGAGCAGCGAAGACGACACCGGAUCCCACCUCAUCCCUUCCUUUUUCUUCGUCGAUGAAAUAUAGCUGACAACUUUUCUCAUACUUGAGAGUUUUCCUGAGAAGCAUACUCCAUUGUGGAGCAAAGGGUGGAGGCGAGGGAGAAUUAUGAAGCAGUUGGGGACGAGUGCUAUAACAUAACACCGCAAGGAGGGAAAUUACACGGCGUUGAUACUGGACAAACAAGAUAUUGCGACUGUAUGUGAUGAAUGAGUCACUAAUCUUGUAAAGCAAAAAAUUAUACACAAAAAACUACAGUAUCUUAUUUAUGAAGCACGAUUUACCAACAA